UACGUAGGGUGCGAGCGUUAAUCGGAAUUACUGGCGUAAAGCGUGCGCAGGCGGGCUUUUAAGCCAGACGUGAAAUCCCCGGGCUUAACCUGGGAAUGGCGUUUGGGACUGGGAGUCUGGAGUGCGGCAGAGGAGACUGGAAUUCCUGGUGUAGCAGUGAAAUGCGUAGAUAUCAGGAGGAACACCGAUGGCGAAGGCGGGUCUCUGGGCAGUAACUGACGCUGAGGUGCGAAAGCGUGGGGAGCAAACAGG
rnacentral:rRNA from 1 species